rnacentral:rRNA from 1 species
CAGCCGCCGCGGGAAUACAGAGGGUGCGAGCGUUAAUCGGAUUUACUGGGCGUAAAGCGUGCGUAGGCGGCUUCUUAAGUCGGAUGUGAGAUCCCUGAGCUUAACUUAGGAAUUGCAUUCGAUACUGGGAAGCUAGAGUAUGGGAGAGGAUGGUAGAAUUCCAGGUGUAGCGGUGAAAUGCGUAGAGAUCUGGAGGAAUACCGAUGGCGAAGGCAGCCAUCUGGCCUAAUACUGACGCUGAGGUACGAAAGCAUGGGGAGCAAACAGGAUUAGAGACCCGUGUAGUCCCUGUCUCUUAUAC